rnacentral:rRNA from 1 species
AGCGAACGCUGGCGGCAGGCUUAACACAUGCAAGUCGAGCGGGCAUCCUUGUGGUGUCAGCAGCAGACGGGUGAGUAACGCGUGGGAACGUGCCCUUCGGUUCGGAAUAACUCAGGGAAACUUGAGCUAAUACCGGAUACGUGCGAGAGCAGAAAGGUUUAUCUGCCGAAGGAUCGGCCCGCGCCUGAUUAGCUAGUUGGUGAGGUUACGGCUCACCAAGGCGACGAUCAGUAGCUGGUCUGAGAGGAUGAUCAGCCACACUGGGACUGAGACACGGCCCAGACUCCUACGGGAGGCAGCAGUGGGGAAUAUUGGACAAUGGGGGCAACCCUGAUCCAGCCAUGCCGCGUGAGUGAUGACGGCCUUAGGGUUGUAAAGCUCUUUUCUCCGGGACGAUAAUGACGGUACCGGAGGAAUAAGCCCCGGCUAACUUCGUG